CACGUAGGGCGCGAGCGGUGUCCGGAAUUAUUGGGCGUAAAGAGCUCGUAGGCGGCCUGUUGCGUCCGCUGUGAAAGCCCGGGGCUUAACCCCGGGUCGGCAGUGGAUACGGGCAGGCUAGAGGUAGGUAGGGGAGAAUGGAAUUCCCGGUGUAGCGGUGAAAUGCGCAGAUAUCGGGAGGAACACCGGUGGCGAAGGCGGUUCUCUGGGCCUUACCUGACGCUGAGGAGCGAAAGCGUGGGGAGCGAACAGG
rnacentral:rRNA from 1 species